rnacentral:rRNA from 1 species
UACGGAGGGUGCAAGCGUUAAUCGGAAUUACUGGGCGUAAAGCGUGCGCAGGCGGUUUGUUAAGUCUGCUGUGAAAUCCCCGAGCUCAACUUGGGAAUUGCAGUGGAUACUGGCAGGCUGGAGUAUGGUAGAGGAAGGUGGAAUUCCCGGUGUAGCAGUGAAAUGCGUAGAGAUCGGGAGGAACACCAGUGGCGAAGGCGGCCUUCUGGACCAAUACUGACGCUGAAGCACGAAAGCGUGGGGAGCAAACAGG